UACGGAGGGUGCAAGCGUUGCUCGGAAUUAUUGGGGCGUAAAGGGUAGGUAGGUGGUCUUAUUUGUCUGGGGUGAAAGCCUUGAGCUUAACUCAAGAAGUGCCCCAGAAACGGUAAGACUAGAGUCCUGGAGAGGGUCGUGGAAUUCCCGGUGUAGCGGUGAAAUGCGUAGAUAUCUGGAGGAACACCGGUGGCGAAGGCGGCCUGCUGGGCUGUUGCUGACGCUGAGGCGCGACAGCGUGGGGAGCAAACAGG
rnacentral:rRNA from 1 species